GGCGUCAGAUUGAACGCUGGCGGCGUGCUUAACACAUGCAAGUCGAACGCGAAAGGGGAACUUCGGGCCUGAGUAAAGUGGCGCACGGGUGAGUAACGCGUGGAUAAUCUGCCCUUAUGAUCGGGAUAACAGUUGGAAACGGCUGCUAAUACCGGAUACGCUCAAAAUGAACUUUUUGAGGAAAGAUGGCCUCUGCUUGCAUGCUAUCACGUAAGGAUGAGUCCGCGUCCCAUUAGCUUGUUGGCGGGGUAACGGCCACCAAGGCAACGAUGGGUAGCCGAUUUGAGAGGAUGAUCGGCCACACUGGAACUGAAACACGGUCCAGACUCCUACGGGAGGCAGCAGUGGGGAAUAUUGCGCAAUGGGCGAAAGCCUGACGCAGCGACGCCGCGUGAGGGAUGAAGGUUUUCGGAUCGUAAACCUCUGUCAGAAGGGAAGAAACUACGUUGUGCUAAUCAGCAGCGUACUGACGGUACCUUCAAAGGAAGCACCGGCUAACUCCGUGCCAGCCGCAGC
rnacentral:rRNA from 1 species